AGACCUCUCCUUACUAACUGACCAAUGAAUUAAACAUCUCAGUAAUAAUUUAAAUCACUAAAAACUGUGCAAAAUACUAAACAAAUGCACUUAUAGAAGGUAGAGGUAAAAAGAUGGAGAAAGGCAAGUAUAGGCAGGAAAAAACAAACAUUUAAAACCAAUGAGAAAGCAUUAAUCUUUGAAGAAUUAUUCUGAGUUUAACCACCACAAUGAACAAAAAUAUAAUAUUAAAGGCAAUUAUUUUUCAGGAUAACACUAUGCCAAAUGGAAACUAAAAUGGCUUUUUACCACUCUUGCCAUUUGUUAAGACACUGAUUGCAGAGAAUUAUUAUUAUUAUAAUCAAAAAGAAGCGCUAAGCCACAAGGGCUAUACAACUGAUUGCAGAGAAGUCUUUAUUGUCAGUGUUUCCUCACAAACUGGCUUUAUCAAAUAAAGUACUGUACAUGAAAUAAACAAAAACUCCCAUUUUGUAUAUUACAUCCAGGCCUAGUAUUAUUAUUAUUAUUAUUAUUAUAAUCAAAGCUAAACCCACCAGUGCUACAGGGUAGGGUGUGUGAACUACGUAAUAUGCUUGAUCUGAACUAGCAAAGGUGGAGAGUAUAAUGGAGGUAGAGUUUGUAAGGGCAGUGAUCCAGGCCUGGUAGUCAAUCAGGUGCUGAAUGUUAAGUCCCAGGGGUCUGGUGUUGAUCUGGUGAGAGCUGAGAAGCUGGGAAGCACUACAACAAGCUUACCAGCCCAUGCUAGGUACAAUGAUUCAUGCACUGAUAACGAAGAAGCAGCAAUAUGAUUGCAGAUACUGGCAACACUUGAGUUCAUCGCAAUAACAACAGGAGGUGGCUACGAAAUUAUCACAGUAGUACAGUAUGUACAACUGUUAAUUUUACACAGUUAUGAUUUGAUAUUGAAUCUUCACAUUUAUUUACAUUUCUCUCGAAUGCGAAUGGCGCCAUGUAUGAUCUACUAUGUGGUUCGUCUGCAAGUUUUUUACAAAUUGUUGCAAAUCUCCAAAAAGUUUCAAGUAUAUUUAUUGAAAAAAUCCAUGAAUAAGUGGACUUGCCCAGUUUAAACCUGUAUUGUUUAAGGGUCAACUGUA